rnacentral:rRNA from 1 species
CCUGAAAGGGCGGGGUGCCCGCAAGGGAGCGUGGAGACAGGUGGUGCAUGGCUGUCGUCAGCUCGUGUCGUGAGAUGUUGGGUUAAGUCCCGCAACGAGCGCAACCCUCACCCCUGGUUGCCACCGGGUAAAGCCGAGCACUCGAGGGGAACUGCCAGCGUCAAGCUGGAGGAAGGCGGGGAUGACGUCAAGUCAUCAUGCCCCUUACGCCCUGGGCUACACACGUGCUACAAUGGCCGGUACAAAGGGACGCGAGACCGCGAGGUGGAGCCAAUCCCAAAAAACUGGUCUAAGUUCAGAUUGCAGUCUGCAACUCGACUGCAUGAAGGAGGAAUCGCUAGUAAUCGCGCAUCAGCACGGCGCGGUGAAUACGUUCCCGGGCCUUGUACACACCGCCCGUCACACCACGAAAGCUGUCUGUACUCGAAGUCGCU